GGCUGCGGUGCUAUACUGCAGUCGACGCUUCUUUUUCCCCGGAGCUUGCUCCACCGGAAAAAGAGGAGUGGCGAACGGGUGAGUAACACGUGGGUAACCUGCCCAUCAGAAGGGGAUAACACUUGGAAACAGGUGCUAAUACCGUAUAACAAUCGAAACCGCAUGGUUUUGAUUUGAAAGGCGCUUUCGGGUGUCGCUGAUGGAUGGACCCGCGGUGCAUUAGCUAGUUGGUGAGGUAACGGCUCACCAAGGCCACGAUGCAUAGCCGACCUGAGAGGGUGAUCGGCCACAUUGGGACUGAGACACGGCCCAAACUCCUACGGGAGGCAGCAGUAGGGAAUCUUCGGCAAUGGACGAAAGUCUGACCGAGCAACGCCGCGUGAGUGAAGAAGGUUUUCGGAUCGUAAAACUCUGUUGUUAGAGAAGAACAAGGAUGAGAGUAACUGUUCAUCCCUUGACGGUAUCUAACCAGAAAGCCACGGCUAACUACGUGCCAGCAGCCGCGGUAAUACGUAGGUGGCAAGCGUUGUCCGGAUUUAUUGGGCGUAAAGCGAGCGCAGGCGGUUUCUUAAGUCUGAUGUGAAAGCCCCCGGCUCAACC
rnacentral:rRNA from 1 species